CCUACGGGUGGCAGCAGUGAGGAAUAUUGGUCAAUGGGCGGGAGCCUGAACCAGCCAAGUCGCGUGAGGGACGACGGUCCUAUGGAUUGUAAACCUCUUUUGUCGGGGAACAAAGGCCCCCACGGGUGGGCGGAUCAGUGUACCCGAAGAAACAGCAUCGGCUAACUCCGUGCCAGCAGCCGCGGUAAUACGGAGGAUGCGAGCGUUAUCCGGAUUUAUUGGGUGUAAAGGGAGCGUAGUUGGGUUGGUAAGUCAGAUGUGAAAGUUUUCGGCUCAACCGUAAAAUUGCAAUUGAUACUGGAAGUCUUGAGUACAGUAGAGGUAGGCGGAAUUCGUGGUGUAGCGGUGAAAUGCGUAGAGAUCACGAAGAACUCCGAUGGCGAAGGCAGCUUACUAAACUGCCACUGACACUGAUGCACGAAAGUGUGGGUAUCAAACAGGAUUAGAUACCCUUGUAGUC
rnacentral:rRNA from 1 species